rnacentral:rRNA from 1 species
CAAGUCGGAUGUGAAAUCCCCGGGCUCAACCUGGGAACUGCAUUCGAAACUGGCAGGCUAGAGUCUUGUAGAGGGGGGUAGAAUUCCAGGUGUAGCGGUGAAAUGCGUAGAGAUCUGGAGGAAUACCGGUGGCGAAGGCGGCCCCCUGGACAAAGACUGACGCUCAGGUGCGAAAGCGUGGGGAGCAAACAGGAUUAGAUACCCUGGUAGUCCACGCCGUAAACGAUGUCGAUUUGGAGGUUGUGCCCUUGAGGCGUGGCUUCCGGAGCUAACGCGUUAAAUCGACCGCCUGGGGAGUACGGCCGCAAGGUUAAAACUCAAAUGAAUUGACGGGGGCCCGCACAAGCGGUGGAGCAUGUGGUUUAAUUCGAUGCAACGCGAAGAACCUUACCUGGUCUUGACAUCCACAGAACUUUCCAGAGAUGGAUUGGUGCCUUCGGGAACUGUGAGACAGGUGCUGCAUGGCUGUCGUCAGCUCGUGUUGUGAAAUGUUGGGUUAAGUCCCGCAACGAGCGCAACCCUUAUCCUUUGUUGCCAGCGGUUCGGCCGGGAACUCAAAGGAGACUGCCAGUGAUAAACUGGAGGAAGGUGGGGAUGACGUCAAGUCAUCAUGGCCCUUACGACCAGGGCUACACACGUGCUACAAUGGCAUAUACAAAGAGAAGCGACCUCGCGAGAGCAAGCGGACCUCAUAAAGUAUGUCGUAGUCCGGAUUGGAGUCUGCAACUCGACUCCAUGAAGUCGGAAUCGCUAGUAAUCGUAGAUCAGAAUGCUACGGUGAAUACGUUCCCGGGCCUUGUACACACCGCCCGUCACACCAUGGGAGUGGGUUGCAAAAGAAGUAGGUAGCUUAACCUUCGGGAGGGCGCUUACCACUUUGUGAUUCAUGACUGGGGUGAAGUCGUAACAAGGUAACCGUAGGGGAACCUGCGGUUGGAUCACCUCCUU